rnacentral:lncRNA from 1 species
AGCAAUGUCGCAAGUGAGGUAAUCUUCACACAACCCAUGUAAUACAUAAGGGAAAGAGAUACAUAGUUGGCUUACAAUCGCCACUUCACUCAAUUACAUGAAUAAAGCAUUACAUCAUCCAGAUACAAUCAAGGUCCGACUACGGAACCAAAAUAAAAGAAGAACCCCAAAUGCGACAAAGGUCCCCGAUCGACCCCAACUGGGCUCCACUACUGAUCAACUAGAACAAAACAACACAAAGGGCAAGAUCUUCAUCGAGCUCCUCCUUGAGCUUGGUUGCGUCACCUGCUCGGUAACAUAGGCACCUGCAAACUGGUUUUGGAAGUAACUGUGAGCCACGGGGACUCAGCAAUCUCGCACCCGCGAGAUCAAGACUAUUUAAGCUUAUAGGAAGGAUGGAGUAAUGAGGUGGAGCUGCAGCAAGCGACUAGCAUAUAUGGUGGCUAACAAUCACAAAAGAGAGCGAGAAGAGAGGGCAAAGCACGGUCGAUAAAAGUAUGAUCAAGAAGUGAUCCUAUAGCAACCUACGUCAAGCAUAACUCCAACACCGUGUUCACUUCCCGGACUCCGCCGAGAAGAGACCAUCACGGUUACACACGCGGUUGAUGUAUUUUAAUUAAGGUCAACUUCGGGUUUUCUACAACCGGACGUUAACAAAUUCCCAUCUGCCCAUAACCGCGGGCACGACUUUCGAAAGAUAAUACCCUGCAGGGGUGUCCCAACUUAGCCCAUGACAAGCUCUCACGGUCAACGAAGGAAUAGACCUCCACCCGAGACGUUCCGAUCAGACUCGGUAUCCCGGUACAACAAGACAUUUCGACAGGGUAAAACUAAACCAGCAACACCGCCCGAAUGUGCCGACAAAUCCCGAUAGGAGCUGCACAUAUCUCUUUCUCAGGGCACACUCAGAUGAGCAAUCCGUACAACUAAAACCAAACCUCGAGUUUCCCCGAGGGGGCGCUGCACAGGGCUCUAGUUCGAACCAACACUCAGAGGAGCACUGGCCCGGGGGGGGGGUUAAAAAAAUGAUGACCCUUGAGUCUGCAGAACCCAAGGGAAAGAAAAGGCUAGGUGGCAAAUGGUAAAACCAAUGUUGGGCAUUGCUGGAGAAGCUUUACUUAAGGCGAACUAUCAAGGGGUUCCCAUUAUAGCCCAACCGUGUAAGGAACGCAAAAUCCGGGAACAUAACACCGAUAUGACGGAAACUAGGGCAGCAAGAGUGGAACAAAACACCAGGCAUAAGGCCGAGCCUUCCACCCUUUACCAAGUAUAUAGAUGCAUUAAUUAAGUAAGAUAUAUUGUGAUAUCCCAACAAGUAAACAUGUUCCAACAAGGAACAACAUCUCCAUGUUCCAACCAGGAACAAACUUCAAUCUUCACCUGCAACUAACAACGCUAUAAGAGGGGCUAAGCAAAGCGGUAACAUAGCCAAUCAACGGUUUGCUAGGACAUGGUGGGUUAGAGGUUUGACAUGGCAAUUUGGGAGGCUGACCAGCAAAUGGUAGGCAUCGUAGCAUUGGCGUAGCAAAAGAGCGAGCAGACUAGCAUAGCAAAGAUAGUGGUGAUUUUGAGGGUAUGAUCAUCUUGCCUGAGAUCCCGCAAGGAAGAAGAACGAGUC